UACGAAGGGAGCUAGCGUUGUUCGGAAUCAUUGGGCGUAAAGAGCUCGUAGGCGGCCACUCAAGUCGAAUGUGAAACCUCGAGGCUUAACCUCGAGCCUGCAUUCGAUACUGGGCGGCUAGAGUCUGGUAGGGGGAUCUGGAAUUCCUGGUGUAGCGGUGGAAUGCGCAGAUAUCAGGAGGAACACCGGUGGCGAAGGCGGGAUCCUGGGCCAGUACUGACGCUGAGGAGCGAAAGCGUGGGGAGCAAACAGG
rnacentral:rRNA from 1 species